UACGGAGGGUGCAAGCGUUAUCCGGAUUCACUGGGUUUAAAGGGUGCGUAGGUGGGCAGGUAAGUCAGUGGUGAAAUCUCCGGGCUUAACCCGGAAACUGCCAUUGAUACUAUCAGUCUUGAAUACUGUGGAGGUUAGCGGAAUAUGUCAUGUAGCGGUGAAAUGCUUAGAUAUGACAUAGAACACCAAUUGCGAAGGCAGCUGGCUACACAAUUAUUGACACUGAGGCUCGAAAGCGUGGGGAUCAAACAGG
rnacentral:rRNA from 1 species